rnacentral:rRNA from 1 species
GAUGAACGCUGGCGGCGUGCCUAAUACAUGCAAGUCGAGCGAACAGACGAGGAGCUUGCUCCUCUGACGUUAGCGGCGGACGGGUGAGUAACACGUGGAUAACCUACCUAUAAGACUGGGAUAACUUCGGGAAACCGGAGCUAAUACCGGAUAAUAUAUUGAACCGCAUGGUUCAAUAGUGAAAGACGGUUUUGCUGUCACUUAUAGAUGGAUCCGCGCCGCAUUAGCUAGUUGGUAAGGUAACGGCUUACCAAGGCAACGAUGCGUAGCCGACCUGAGAGGGUGAUCGGCCACACUGGAACUGAGACACGGUCCAGACUCCUACGGGAGGCAGCAGUAGGGAAUCUUCCGCAGAGGGCGAAAGCCUGACGGAGCAACGCCGCGUGAGUGAUGAAGGUCUUCGGAUCGUAAAACUCUGUUAUUAGGGAAGAACAAAUGUGUAAGUAACUAUGCACGUCUUGACGGUACCUAAUCAGAAAGCCACGGCUAACUACGUG